rnacentral:tRNA from 1 species
CGGGCCUCGAUCCCGUAAUAAUUUAGUUAACAGCUAAACACCCAAGCCAGCGGGCUUACUUAGACUUCUCCCG